UCAGCCUCCCAAGUGCUGGGAUUAUAGGCAUGCGCCACCACACCAGGCAUUUGGAACAUUUUGCAUACUGAAUUUUUGGAAUGGGAUGUUCAACCUGUAUUUUAAUUCCCAUAGGUAUAAGAACAGAGGCUCUGUAGGUAAAGGAGCUUGCCAGAAUUCAAAUAUAAUUCAGUGGCUCCAGUUUUCGACCCGGCAAAACUGGCAGUCCAGCUGAGGAAUCUUCUCAUAAUCGCUAUUCUUCUGCUAGCUUUUAAGAAAGUUGUGAAGUAGUAAUUCAAAUCCAUAUUCAAACUAGACUCUGGCAAAUGAUAAUUUUCCUCCCCCCAACCCUACUAAAUAUAAUUGGACCAAUCAGACUUCGAAAGUAAUUGUUGAGUGACUUAGAUUUCUUAUAGCUUCCAGCAUUAUUAGUUGUUUAGAACUCUGUGGUAGUAAAUGCUUUUUGUUUGUUUUUAUUUGCUAAUCUCUGAUUUGAAAAAGAGCAAAACCAACACUUCUGUCAGCUCAGAAUAUAAAUAUCUUUGAUACUUGAUCUUCUGGACCGGCCUGUACUUUGGUGUGCCAUGGUUACUGCCAGCCUAGCUUCUAGUCUUGUGUUAAGUCUGUGAAUUAUUUAUUAUUUUUUUUGGCAGGACGCUUUCAUUGUGCAUAGAAAAAAAGACCCUGCAAAUUUUCCUGGCUUACAGUUUAUAUUAUGCACAUUUUGUUUGAAAGAGUGGUGAUUGUAACUAUUUGUCAUUAAUUGAGGGAAGCACCCUUAUAAGCAAGCUAUAGUGUCCUGAUUAUGAUUUGGUUUUUUACUUUUUUUUUUGGUUUUUUUUUUUUGCCGUACAGGAGAUUAAAUCUAGUGCUUUCAUACUAAGCUAGAUCCUCGCCCCAUUCCUUCUUCUAAAAUUUUGAGACAGGAUCUCACUAAGUUGCCCAGGGUUGUCUCCUCACCAGACUAUGAGCUCCUUGAAAGAAGGAAUCGUGUGUUACUCAUCUUUAUAUUCCCCAUCUAGCACAGCUCUUGAUACAUAGAAUUGAACUCAGGACCUUGUGCUUGCCAGGCAGGCGCUGUGCCACUGAGCUAUAUCCCUAGCCCUCACCUGAAAUUUUGAACAACAAAGGACAACAUAUAGUACUCCUGUGGUUCAGAUAAUAAAUAUAUGAUAAAUCUAUUAAUUCAUUUAUGUAUUUAUGAUCAACAUAUAAUCCUGGAUUCCAAGUACUAUCAUUUAUUUUGUUCACAUUGACUCAGAUAUGACUUAUUGGCCAUAUUCUUCAGUAAUAUUUCUCACACUGAGUUUUCUUUUUAAAUGGAGCCCUGUGUACCUGUCAACAUAUGGGUUGAUAGUUUAAGCUGAAUUUUGGGAGAUGGCCACUGCUUCACCAAGGUCUGAUACUAGUAACCACAGUGGAAGGUUACAGUUACAGGUAACUGUUUCUAGUGCCAAACUAAAAAGAAAAAAGAACUGGUUUGGAACAGCAAUAUAUACAGAAGUAGUUGUAGAUGGAGAAA